UGGGGAAUCUUGCGCAAUGGCCGAAAGGCUGACGCAGCGACGCCGCGUGGAGGAUGACGCCCUUCGGGGUGUAAACUCCUGUUGCCCGGGACGAAAGCCCGUUUCGACGGGGGUGACGGUACCGGGUGAGGAAGCACCGGCUAACUCUGUGCCAGCAGCCGCGGUAAUACAGAGGGUGCGAGCGUUGUCCGGAAUCACUGGGCGUAAAGGGCGCGUAGGCGGUGACGUAAGCGUGUGGUGAAAGCCCGGGGCUCAACCCCGGGUCGGCCAUGCGAACUGCGUGACUGGAGCACGGUAGAGGCACAUGGAAUUCCGGGUGUAGCGGUGGAAUGCGUAGAGAUCCGGAAGAACACCGGUGGCGAAGGCGGUGUGCUGGGCCGUAGCUGACGCUGAGGCGCGA
rnacentral:rRNA from 1 species